GCUUAGAGAGGGGUCGAUGUCCUAUCAGCUAGUUGGUAGGGUAAUGGCCUACCAAGGCGAAGACGGGUAGCCGGCCUGAGAGGGUGGUCGGCCACACUGGGACUGAGACACUGCCCAGACUCCUACGGGAGGCUGCAGCCGAGAAUCUUUCGCAAUGCCCGAAAGGGUGACGAAGCGACGCCGCGUGUGGGAAGAAGGCCUUCGGGUUGUAAACCACUGUCGGGAGUUAGGAAAUGUAAGGGUGCAAAUAGUAUCCUUACUUGACUAAGGCUCCGGAGGAAGCCACGGCUAACUCUGUGCCAGCAGCCGCGGUAAUACAGAGGCGGCAAGCGUUGUUCGGAAUUAUUGGGCGUAAAGAGCACGUAGGCGGCCUUAUAAGUCAGUUGUGAAAGCCUUCUGCUUAACGGAAGAACAGCAUCUGAUACUGCAAGGCUAGAGUGCGGAAGGG
rnacentral:rRNA from 1 species